rnacentral:rRNA from 1 species
GGGCUGUUAAGAGAGUCUUAGUGUUUUGAGAUAGGACGGUAACCUGAAAAGUGUCUCGUUCCUUAAUUGGGUAAAAUGGUGAAAUGUGGUAAUUUGAAGAAGGGAAGGAGCUUUAUGAUAGUUGGUUGUGUUUUAAAGGUGUGGGCAUGGAAUGGGAUUAGAUACCCCGGUACUCCUUAUAUUAAUUGAAACUUCUUGGGUAGUAAACAGUUAUGGUCUUGAAACCUAAAGAAUUUGGCGGUAGCUAAGUCCAGUCAGAGGAACCUGUGUCAUAAACGAUGAUCCACGAGAAUCUUACACAAUCUUGGAGUUUCAGUUUGUAUACCGCCAUUAUUAGAUAAUUUUAUUAAAUAUUUGUCUUUAUAGAGUUGGUUCUAGAAUAUUAGGUCAAGGUGCAGCCGAUGGUGGUGGGAUUAGCAUGGGUUACAAUGUUAUUAGUUUAUACUGAUAAAUGUUCUGUAAGGUACUUUUGAGGGUGGAUUUGAUUGUAUGGGUAGUGGAUCGAGCUACUUUGGUAGGGUUCUUAGGUAUGUACACAUCGCCCGUCGUUCUCGCUUU